UCAGAAUCCUUAUGAGUAGGCUGCUCUGUAAUUCUGCACGAAAAGAGUCCCAGGCAAGGCCUAGAUUGAACAUGGGUGUCCUGACUCAACUCUUCUACCUUCUUUUGUUCUGGCAUCCAGCUGCCAGCACCAACACCACACUGACCCAGUUUCCGGCUUACCUCUCUGUGUCCCUAAAAGAGAGCAUCUCCAUCAUUUGCAAGGCCAGUCAGAGCGUUAGUGAUUAUGUCACCUGGUAUCAGCAGAAACCAGGCCAGUCUCCUAAGAUUAUCAUCUAUGAUGCUGAUAACCGGUACUCUGGUGUCCCAGACCGGUUCACUGGGAUACAGUCUGGGACGGAAUUUAUUUUCAAAAUCAGCAGUGUGGAGGCUGAAGAUACUGCCAACUAUUACUGCCAGCAGGAUUACUCAUUACCUCCCACGGUGUUGCAGCCCUUAACAGAAACCAUCCUCUUGGCUAGCUGGGUCUGAGGUUAUGGGGUUUUGCAGCUGCACUCUCCCUUAUGGCGUGGUGAGAAGUAUAGGGUCUAUUUUUGGGAGGCAGUUCAUGGGCAAAGACCUGCAAGAGAUUUUAGUCCCUCCAAAGCUUAUUUCUGCAACAGUACAAAAACACACAAAACCUUCAAUUGUGGAAAGGAGCUGUCUAGGUAAAAUCUGAAAAAAGACCUGGUUCAUAGCAAAAAUCUCUGAAUCUUUUGUCUGAGAAGAGGUAUUUUUUAAAAAGAAUUAUUUAUUUUAUCUUAAUUAUUAUUAUUUUAAAAUUUCACCAGAGAAAGAGAGAAAGGGAAAGUGAGAAAGCAAGUUGCCAAACCGUGGUUGACUUGUGGGAAUCUAGUGCUUCAACCAUCACACCGCUUGCUGCCUCCUAGAAAAGGUAUUUUUAAAAAUAGAGAACUAAGUUUUUUUUUUUUUUUAAAAAGGAGCCAAUAUCCAAGAAAAUAACACUGUCAUUUGCUGUUUAGUGAAGUUUUGAAGAUUUUCUGUGUUAAAUAUUGUACUAAGGGCACACAGAAAAUAUAUCCAACAAUCAUCAUCUGUCGCAAAGAAAUCAGUGGUUCUCAGAGUUUAGUUGGUUCAAGGUACCAGUGAUUAUAAGGGAAGAAUAUGGAAACAGAUAAUCUGAUAUUGAUAAUCUGUUUUUUG